rnacentral:rRNA from 1 species
GAUGAACGCUGGCGGCGUGCCUAAUACAUGCAAGUCGAGCGAACAGACGAGGAGCUUGCUCCUCUGACGUUAGCGGCGGACGGGUGAGUAACACGUGGAUAACCUACCUAUAAGACUGGGAUAACUUCGGGAAACCGGAGCUAAUACCGGAUAAUAUAUUGAACCGCAUGGUUCAAUAGUGAAAGACGGUUUUGCUGUCACUUAUAGAUGGAUCCGCGCCGCAUUAGCUAGUUGGUAAGGUAACGGCUUACCAAGGCAACGAUGCGUAGCCGACCUGCGAGGGUGAUCGGCCACACGGGAACUGAGACACGGUCCAGACGCCUACGGGAGGCAGCAGUAGGGAAUCUGCCGCAAUGGGCGAAAGCCUGACGGAGCAACGCCGCGUGAGUGAUGAAGGUCUUCGGAUCGUAAAACUCUGUUAUUAGGGAAGAACAAAUGUGUAAGUAACUAUGCACGUCUUGACGGUACCUAAUCAGAAAGCCACGGCUAACUACGUG